GCUUGUCUCAAAGAUUAAGCCAUGCAUGUCUCAGCAUAAGCUUCAACACGGUGAAACUGCAAAUGGCUCAUUAAAGCAGUUACAAUUUAUUUGAUGGUCACUGUUACAUGGAUAACCGUAGUAAUUCUAGAGCUAAUACAUGCGUAAAGGGUGCUGAAAGGCAUCUGUGUUUAUUAGAUACAACCAACCCCUCGCGGGUUUAGGUGAUUCAUAAUAACCGAACGAACCGCGUUCAGCGGUGAUUCUUUCUACAUUAUUCCCUAUCAGCUUUCGUUUUUUGUGUAGUGGACAAAAAAGGCUUUGACGGGUAACGGAGAAUUAGGGUUCGAUUCCGGAGAGGGAGCCUGAGAGAUGGCUACCACAUCCAAGGAAGGCAGCAGG
rnacentral:rRNA from 1 species